UACGAAGGGGGCUAGCGUUGCUCGGAAUCACUGGGCGUAAAGCGCACGUAGGCGGAUUGCUAAGUCAGGGGUGAAAUCCUGGAGCUCAACUCCAGAACUGCCUUUGAUACUGGCGAUCUCGAGUCCGGGAGAGGUGAGUGGAACUGCGAGUGUAGAGGUGAAAUUCGUAGAUAUUCGCAAGAACACCAGUGGCGAAGGCGGCUCUCUGGGACGGUACUGACGCUGAGACGCGAAAGCGUGGGGGAGCGAACAGG
rnacentral:rRNA from 1 species